CAAGGAGUGUAAUAUAUUUGCGAGUUAUAGGGGUUUCUAAAAUAAUAAUUGCGGGAUUAGUCUUUAGUUCGAACAUGCUUAGAGUGUUAAUCCAAUCCCGGGACAUAAUAAUAUUGAUAUCCCGAAAUAUGAUGAACUAUACUUGAUCAGGUUGAAGUCUGGGGAAACCCUGAUGGAAGAUGUACAAACCAAUCAUCAGAAUUGAAUAUAGGAGCGAAAGACAAGUCGAACCAUCUAGUAGCUGGCUCGUUGAACAAUUUUCCUCAGGAUCGCUGGAGCAUUUAAAAGUUAUUUAAAAUACUCUUAUAUGUUAAAGCGAACGAUUAGAAGCCUUAAGCAAGGAAGACUCUCACCUUUCUGGAUGCGGUUUUGAUAUAAUGUGCCCAGUGGGCCACUUUUGGUAUGCAAAACAAGUAUUGAGGGAUGAACCAAACCAAACACAAGAAAUAACUCCUAUAAGUGUAGCGCAGUGACGGUUAGGAGGAAUAUUUAAACCGUUACCGACGCAGCACUCG
rfam:Glossina austeni unplaced genomic scaffold Scaffold447, whole genome shotgun sequence.